GAUGAACGCUGGCGGCGUGCCUAAUACAUGCAAGUCGAGCGAACAGACGAGGAGCUUGCUCCUCUGACGUUAGCGGCGGACGGGUGAGUAACACGUGGAUAACCUACCUAUAAUACUGGGAUAACUUCGGGAAACCGGAGCUAAUACCGGAUAAUAUAUUGAACCGCAUGGUUCAAUAGUGAAAGACGGUUUUGCUGUCACUUAUAGAUGGAUCCGCGUCGCAUUAGCUAGUUGGUAAGGUAACGGCUUACCAAGGCAACGAUGCGUAGCCGACCUGAGAGGAGGAGCGGCCACACUGGAACUGAGACACGGUCCAGACUCCUACGGGAGGCAGCAGUAGGGAAUCUUCCGCAAUGGGCGCAAGCCUGACGGAGCCACGCCGCGUGAGUGAUGAAGGUCUUCGGAUCGUAAAACUCUGUUAUUAGGGAAGAAAAAAUGUGUAAGUAACUAUGCACGUCUUGACGGUACCUAAUCAGAAAGCCACGGCUAACUACGUG
rnacentral:rRNA from 1 species